GUGAAUGAGGCUUUCGAGCUUCGACCCACUGCCAUUGCACUUUGGCUGUGCGCCUCUCCUCUGGGGAGGCUUGCACGCCAAUUUGCAUUGAUUCUCACACCUGUGCACCUUUCGAGACGUGGGAUGCGGAAGAAUUUUUUUUCCAAGCCCCUGUCUCGCUUUUUACCAAACCACUGUCAUGAAUGUAUAAAACCUAUAACUUAUA
rnacentral:misc_RNA from 1 species